rnacentral:rRNA from 1 species
UACGUAGGUGGCAAGCGUUAUCCGGAAUUAUUGGGCGUAAAGAGCGCGCAGGUGGUUGAUUAAGUCUGAUGUGAAAGCCCACGGCUUAACCGUGGAGGGUCAUUGGAAACUGGUCGACUUGAGUGCAGAAGAGGGAAGUGGAAUUCCAUGUGUAGCGGUGAAAUGCGUAGAGAUAUGGAGGAACACCAGUUGCGAAGGCGGCUUCCUGGUCUGUAACUGACACUGAGGCGCGAAAGCGUGGGGAGCGAACAGGAUUAGAUA